UACAGAGGGUGCGAGCGUUGUUCGGAAUUACUGGGCGUAAAGGGCGCGUAGGCGGUGCGGUAAGUCACCUGUGAAAUCUCCUGGCUCAACUGGGAGCUUGCAGGCGAAACUGCCGUGCUGGAGUGUGGGAGAGGUGAGUGGAAUUCCUGGUGUAGCGGUGAAAUGCGUAGAUAUCAGGAGGAACACCUGUGGCGAAAGCGGCGCACUGGACCACAAAUGACGCUGAGGCGCGAAAGCUAGGGGAGCAAACAGG
rnacentral:rRNA from 1 species